GGCUCGUUGGUCUAGGGGUAUGAUUCUUGCUUCGGAUGCGAGAGGUCCCGGGUUCAAAUCCCGGACGAGCCC